UUUUUUUAAAAACAUACAGAUUUUUAAAUAAAUUAUAUGUCAGGUAUCAUGAAAUUUGUGUAUUUGUUGGUGGUUUAUCAAAUGUACAGUCAAACAGCCAAGUAAGAUUUCAUCUGAUAUGCGAGUUUAGUAACAUAAUAAUCUAUUAUUUUUUGGGUAAAACAUUUAAAUAAGAUGUAGCAAAUCUUAGAACAGGAAGUUUGAUAGCACGUUUAAUAUCUUUAAUUAAACUGGAAAAAGGAUGAAUUUUUUCUAUAUAAAAUAGAACUAACUAAUACAAUUGAUCAGUAGAUCUUUAAAAAUGGGUAUUAUCACUUUUAGGCCGCGCUAAAAACUAUUUAUGUUCAGU
rnacentral:lncRNA from 1 species